rnacentral:rRNA from 1 species
UACGUAGGUGGCAAGCGUUGUCCGGAUUUACUGGGCGUAAAGAGCGCGCAGGCGGUCGUACAAGUCGCGUGUGAAAGCCCCCGGCUUAACUGGGGAGGGUCACGCGAUACUGUUCGACUCGAAGGCAGGAGAGGGAAGCGGAAUUCCCGGUGUAGUGGUGAAAUGCGUAGAUAUCUGGAGGAACACCGGUGGCGAAGGCGGCAUUCUGGACCAUUACUGACGCUGAGGAGCGAAAGCCAGGGGAGCAAACGGG